AUGGUCUCUUUUCGGCGGAGUCCAGGAAGUGAACACGGCUUCUGGAUAAGGAUGAUCCUUUACCUAGAUUAUAAACAAUUAACUAGCUCACUUGUGAUCCUCGCUAACAACUGCCCUGCGCUCCACAAUGUUGAUAUGGGAACUGCGUGUGGUAAAUACUUCCAAGUAUGCUGCCUGAGUAUCAUUGACCCUGGUGAUUCUGACAUCAUCAACGCAACACCAGCGGGCCAGUAA
rnacentral:rRNA from 1 species